rnacentral:pre_miRNA from 1 species
AGGGGGAGCGCCGGAUCUUGGGCUGUGUCCCCAGUGUCCUGUGCUUCCGGGCCUUCGCUGCGGGAAUUGCACUCCUGGCAGCGCAGCCCCCU